GACGUACGCUGGCGGCGUGCUUAACACAUGCAAGUCGAACGGUAAGGCCCUUCGGGGUACACGAGUGGCGAACGGGUGAGUAACACGUGGGUGAUCUGCCCUGCACUUCGGGAUAAGCCUGGGAAACUGGGUCUAAUACCGGAUAGGACCACUGCCUGCAUGGGUGGUGGUGGAAAGCUUUUGCGGUGUGGGAUGGGCCCGCGGCCUAUCAGCUUGUUGGUGGGGUGAUGGCCUACCAAGGCGACGACGGGUAGCCGGCCUGAGAGGGUGACCGGCCACACUGGGACUGAAAUACGGCCCAGACUCCUACGGGAGGCAGCAGUGGGGAAUAUUGCACAAUGGGCGCAAGCCUGAUGCAGCGACGCCGCGUGAGGGAUGACGGCCUUCGGGUUGUAAACCUCCUUCAGCACCGACGAAGCGCAAGUGACGGUAGGUGCAGAAGAAGGACCGGCCAACUACGUGCCAGCCGCCGCGGUAAAAC
rnacentral:rRNA from 1 species